GCGGGGGUCCGAAAGCAUGAGUUACUAUGGGUUAUAUCACCAAUGGGUCAGCGGCAUGUCCCCCCUCCGAUGUGUUGGCCAGGAAACCCCAUUCGGAGGUUCGCAAGAUUGGUCUAGCCAGCCAGUGGCGGGGGCUGAUGGGUGGGCGAGUAGUGGUUGUAUCACACCGGUGGGCCCAUGCAGGAGCCAGUCUUCAGGAGCCAGUCUACAGGAUCCAGUCUACAGGAGGCUGCAUACAGGAGGCUGCAUACAGGAGGCUGCAUACAGGAGCAAGUCUACAGGAGCCAGUCUACAGGAGCAAGUUAGCUGUUGAUGUUAGGUGGAUGGUUAAGUUAGCUGUUGAUGUUACUAAUAAAAUUCUCUCCCUUUUCUCCCAGGUAUUUAGGUCUCCGGCACUAACAGGGCUACCAUUCCUCCUCUGAGGGUAGCACUGCCCGAUGAGGGGGAUGAAGUGGUUCGACUUGUAAUGGAGAAUCCCAGCACAUUCCCACGCUGUGAAACCUUACACUCGGUAGUGCUGCCGUGGGUAGGGGGAGCAGCGGGGGCCUCAUAAUGCGAGCGGUGUCUGGGCAUUGUUAACUAAUCAAUUCCAUUUCUUUUUUUUCCCAUGCAGCUUGUUAUUGUCAACUAAUUCCAUUUCUAUUUCUAGCACAGCCUGUCAUUGUUAACUAAUUCCAUUUCAUUUUUUGUUUUCUAGCAGCUUGUUCUCCACACAGACGGGGCUACCAGUCCCUUCCCGAUGGUAGCGCUGCCUGAAGGUGGGGAGGAAGUGGUUCGACUUGUGUUCGGAGACCGACACUUUCCCAAACUGUAAUGAUCCAAUGCACCUGGUAGCGAUGCCUUGUGUAGGGGGGAGCAGGGAGGGCACUCGAGACGGUCGAGUGGUGUUCGGGAUCAAGCUAAUAUAAUUCCAUGUUUUCUUCUCUUCCCUAGCCAGGUCAAAUCAAGUCAAGAGGAGCCGAAGCUGUCUGGACAGGCAAGUUGACCAUUGCAUCUUUUUUUAUAGCCUUUCUUGAUAUAAUGUAUAGAACUUAAACAGCUUAAAAUUUGGGCUGUCCAACUCACAUAUAGCUAGCAAGGGUCUUUUUUGGCUGAAAUUCUUGUUCAUUUUUUUAACUUGCCUUCAUAUACAUGAAAUGUAAUGCGCACUACUGGCCCCUAUGGGCCUAUUGUGAGGAUAUGUGAAAGACAUAGGAUAAUGUACCUUGAAUAGUCUACCAUCUUUGAUGUGGGGCUGCCAAUCUGUCAAUGCAAUGAUUUUCUUAUAGGUAUGUAUAUUUGGUGUACAUUUGUCAUUUUACAAUUUUACAAUUUAACAUGUUAUGUUAUUUUUGCGUUUGAAAUUUUUGUUCAGAAGCCAUAUUUUAUUUUUCUGUUUUCAGAAAGAUCAUGGGAUGUGUGCAUAACACAUGUAUGAUGUUUAUCACAGGUGGGUUGAUGAGUAAUUUUUUAUGUUCUAUAAACAAACAGAAAACUUCUUUUGUUCCUAUUCAAUAGGUUAAACUGGUCAGAACAACUACAGGAGAUAGUUAAGCAUUGUGUUUAGAGGUAAAGAUGGAGACAAGGGAAGAAACUUUGCUUCGCCAAGGGAAACAAUUGUUUUCAAGACAGCCAUCACUGACCCAAAGUUUUCCCAUGUGAAUAGUGGAACAUCCUCCAGUCAUGUAUAAAUGGCAGUGUGUGAAACAGUGGCACAGUUCUGUCUUCAUUGAAAACUUACACAAGUGUUAUAAUCUACCACAAUUUUGCCUACCUGUAUGUAAAAGUUGCAUCAAAUAUUCUUCUAGUUGGUUGUUCCACGUUUCCAGUGAAUUAGACAGUUGCCAAGCUGGUGGAAAACAGUGGUGCAAA